rnacentral:rRNA from 1 species
AGUGAACGCUGGCGGUAGGCCUAACACAUGCAAGUCGAACGGCAGCACAAUAAGAGCUUGCUCUUACGGGUGGCGAGUGGCGGACGGGUGAGGAAUACAUCGGAAUCUACUUUUUCGCGGGGGAUAACGUAGGGAAACUUACGCUAAUACCGCAUACGACCUACGGGUGAAAGCAGGGGAUCUUCGGACCUUGCGCGAUUGAAUGAGCCGAUGUCGGAUUAGCUAGUUGGCGGGGUAAAGGCCCACCAAGGCGACGAUCCGUAGCUGGUCUGAGAGGAUGAUCAGCCACACUGGAACUGAGACACGGUCCAGACUCCUACGGGAGGCAGCAGUGGGGAAUAUUGGACAAUGGGCGCAAGCCUGAUCCAGCCAUACCGCGUGGGUGAAGAAGGCCUUCGGGUUGUAAAGCCCUUUUGUUGGGAAAGAAAAGCAGCAGGUUAAUACCCCGCUGUUCUGACGGUACCCAAAGAAUAAGCACCGGCUAACUUCGUG